rnacentral:lncRNA from 1 species
AUUAUCCCAUGAAAAAGAGAAGUCUCACUCAAAAGCCACAUAGGCUGGAUGCUGUGAAGCCCAAUCUUCUGAUUCUGAAAAAGUCGUAAGGACGGAGCACUCGUAAUGAUGUUCUGGAAACAAAACCCAAGAUGGUUUGAUAUGCUUUGCUGCAAAGAGAACCUGGCUGUCUUUUGGCUGGUACUCUCUUCCAGCUAAAAAUGGGAAACUGAAGACAGAAAGCCACAGAGGAACACAGGUGUGCUGAGCUCCAGGAGAAAUUCUCAACCACCGUGCUUUUCCAAAACACACAUUCCUCUGGGAGAGCUAACAAGGGAUGGUACGAACAGCAAAAUGUGUCGUACAUUCACCAGAUCCUCCAAGGAAGAAGGGCCCACCGCAGCUCCCACAUGAGGGUGAGGGCAUGUCGCCCAAGCGAGGGAGUGAAGGACGACAGGGUCCCGGAAGAUAGGGCUCCAGGGUGACACCUGGGUCCUCUUUGGGAUACUCCGUCCCCGCUGCAAGUCUCUACCUCCGGGCACCCCGACUGGACGUUUUGGAAGGAAAAGCACCGCCAAGGACAAGAGAACAAGAACCCGGGUUGACGACAACGUGCCGAGGAAAAUUUGCAAGGGGUCAGCUCCUCGAAACCUCCCGGCAGAGAAAUGGGAAAUCACGGAUCAUGAGAAAUGGGAACUUCUGACAGAGAGCCCUCCCUUACCAUUCAAAAGGCCGAGGUGUUCCAAAAAACACCCUCCCACUCCUCAUCAGAGAGCUGAAGCCCGGGUCCUUGUCUAACGAAUUUCGGAGAUGACGGUCAACAGGUCUGGGGAUGACUUAACCAUGUUUAUGACAGGCAGACUCCUGGGUUGAGGCUCGGGACAAACCAACCUUUCACAUGAGUCCUUCAAAACAGACAGUGUUCUGUUUGAAUUUCUGAACCCCAUUCUAGGACAAACAUGCUUGGCAUCUAGUGCCAGAGACUUUUCUUCUUGGCCAACGGCUCAGCGGCCACCAUGGCUAUUACACCUUAGGUCCCUGCAGUCUCCUCUCUUCCCCUGCCCCUCAUCCCCUUUUCCCUGAGCUAGUCGCUGUGCCC